GGACCGGUUAGCUCAGUCAGUUGAGCAUAGCAUUAAUAACGCCAAGGUCGCACGUUCGAUUCCUGUUCGGUCCC
rnacentral:tRNA from 1 species